rnacentral:misc_RNA from 1 species
UACGUAGGGGGCAAGCGUUGUCCGGAAUCAUUGGGCGUAAAGAGCGUGUAGGCGGCUCGGUCAGUCUGGUGUGAAAUCCCGAGGCUCAACCUCGGACUGUCAUCGGAUACUGCCGGGCUAGAGUCCGGAAGAGGAGAGUGGAAUUCCUGGUGUAGCGGUGGAAUGCGCAGAUAUCAGGAGGAACACCUGUGGCGAAGGCGGCUCUCUGGUACGGAACUGACGCUGAGACGCGAAAGCGUGGGGAGCGAACAGG